rnacentral:lncRNA from 1 species
AUGGGAAAGACUAGAGAUCUCGUCAAGAAAAUUAGAGAUACCAAGGGAACAUUUCAUGCAAAGAUGGGCUCGAUAAAGGACAGAAAUGUCUGGGACCUAACAGAAGCAGAAGAUAUUAAGAAGAGGUGGCAAGAAUACACAGAAGAACUGUACCAAAAAGAUCUUCAUGACUCGGAUAAUAACGAUGGUGUGAUCACUCAUCUAGAGCCAGACAUCCUGGAAUGUGAAGUCAAGUGGGCCUUAGAAAGCAUCACUAUGAACAAAGCUAGUGGAGGUGAUGGAAUUCCAGUGGAGCUAUUUCAAAUCCUGAAAGAUGAUGCUGUGAAAAUGCUGCACUCAGUAUGCCAGCAACUGUGGAAAACUCAGCAGUGGCCACAGGACUGGAAAAGGUCAGUUUUCAUUCCAAUCCCAAAGAAGGGCAAUGCUAAAGAAUGCUCAAACUACCGCACAAUUGCACUCAUCUCACAUGCUAGUAAAGUAAUGCUCAAAAUUCUCCAAGCCAGGCUUCAGCAAUAUGUGAACCAUGAACUUCCUGAUGUUCAAGCUGGUUUUAGAAAAGGCAGAGGAACCAGAGAUCAAAUUGCCAACAUCCGCUGGAUCAUGGAAAAAGCAAGACGAUUCCAGAAAAAUAUUUAUUUCUGCUUUAUUGACUAUGCCAAAGCCUUUGACUGUGUGGAUCACAAUAAACUGUGGAAAAUUCUGAAAGAGAUGGGAAUACCAGACCACCUGACCUGCCUCUUGAGAAAUCUGUAUGCAGGUCAGCAAGCAGCAGUUAGAACUGGACAUGGAACAGACUGGUUUCAAAUAGGAAAAGGAGUACGUCAAGGCUGUAUAUUGUCGCCCUGCUUAUUUAACUUCUAUGCAGAGUACAUCAUGAGAAACGCUGGACUGGAAGAAACACAAGCGGGAAUCAAGAUUGCUGGGAGAAAUAUCAAUAACCUCAGAUAUGCAGAUGACACCACCUUUAUGGCAGAAAGUGAAGAGGAGCUAAAAAGCCUCUUGAUGAAAGUGAAAGAGGAGAGUGAAAAAGUUGGCUUAAAGCUCAACAUUCUGAAAAUGAAGAUCAUGGCAUCUGGUCCCAUCACUUCAUGGGAAAUAGAUGGGGAAACAGUGGAAACAGUAUCAAACUUUAUUUUGGGGGGCUCCAAAAUUGCUGCAGAUGGUGACUGUAGCCAUGAAAUUAAAAGAUGCUUACUUCUUGGAAGAAAAGUUAUGACCAACACAGAUAGCAUAUUCAAAAGCAGAGACAUUACUUUGCCGACUAAGGUCCAUCUAGUCAAGGCUAUGGUUUUUCCUGUGGUCAUGAAUGGAUGUGAAAUUUGGACUGUGAAGAAGGCUGGGCACCGAAGAAUUGAUGCUUUUGAACUGUGGUGUUGGAGAAGACUUGAGAGUCCUUUGGACUGCAAGGAGAUCCAACCAAUCUAUUCUGAAGGAGAUCCACCCUGGGAUUUCUUUGGAAGGAAUGAUGCUAAAGCUGAAACUCCAAUACUUUGGCCACCUCAUGCAAAGAGUUGA